UAGGCAUUGGAGAUAAGGAAACGAAUAAGAGAUAUUUCCUUUGCUCAAGAAGCCAUGGGUAAACGGCAGUUACACCCCAGGGCCAUACGUGCUGUGAGAGGGAAGAGGCCAGCGGUCUGUGGGAGCUUAGGAAGGGCGGCUCCCCCAACCUGGGACAAGAGUGGCGUGGAAACCUUCCAGCUAGAGGCAGUUUUUCAGCUGAGACCUGAAGGGUGAGUGGGAGCUAUUGGUGGAGUGUGCCGAGAGGAAGGGAGAGAUACCUGGAGAGGGAGAAACAGUACGAGAGCCUGGAGGCCAGAGCAUGGGAUGUUCGCAGUGCUGCAGGAAUCCUGGAGGCUCUACCUUCAAAUAAUCAGAAUCCAACAACUUCUUCCCCGCGCUGCUGCCUCUUCCUGGUCAGAGAUGCCGCUGACUGUACCGGGAGCAAUGCCCUGGUCUCCUAACUGGUCUCCUGCCUCUACACUUGCCCCCUCCGGUCUGUUAAGUCCACGUCCUGUUCUGGAUGUUUCAUAUAAAUGGAAUCACACAAUCAGUGGUACUGUGUGACUGGUUUAUUUCCUGAGUGCUACAUUUUACAACUCCGUGAUGUUAUUAUUUGGUUGGAGCAAAAGUUAUUGCAGUUUUGGCCAUUGCUUUUAAUGGCAAAUCCGCAAGAACGUUUGCAUCAACCUAAAUAAGUAAGCAAUGGUUAAACCAUACAUUCUCAAAUGUAUUAGAAAGGAAUAAUAGUAAAUAUUUGGAAGACAGUCAGUGGGGCAGGAUGCGAGGUAAGAAGAGUGACUGUAGGUCAGGAGUCAGGGGCGUCGGGUUCUAGUCCUGAUUCUGUCUUUAGCCAUGCAACCAAGUGAGCACAGCAACCUCUCUGGGGACACUAAUACAUUUGUUCAAGCCGCCCAGCAACUAAUGGAAAGAGAUUACAGCUAGGAC
rnacentral:lncRNA from 10 species